UCCGGCUGUGCCCGAAAGGGAACGGGAACACAGGUGCUGCAUGGCUGUCGUCAGCUCGUGUCGUGAGAUGUUGGGUUAAGUCCCGCAACGAGCGCAACCCUUGUCAUUAGUUGCUACAUUCAGUUGGGCACUCUAAUGAGACUGCCGGUGACAAACCGGAGGAAGGUGGGGAUGACGUCAAGUCCUCAUGGCCCUUAUGGGUAGGGCUUCACACGUAAUACAAUGGCGCGUACAGAGGGUUGCCAAGGAGCGAUCUGGAGCCAAUCCCUAAAAAGCGCGUCGUAGUCCGGAUUGCAGUCUGCAACUCGACUGCAUGAAGUCGGAAUCGCUAGUAAUCGCGGAUCAGCAUGUCGCGGUGAAUACGUUCCCGGGUCUUGUACACACCGCCCGUCACACCAUGGGAGUGGGUUUCACCAGAAGCCGGUCGCCUAACCGCAAGGACGGCGCCGACCACGGUGAGAUUCAUGACUGGGGUGAAGUCGUAACAAGGUAGCCGUAA
rnacentral:rRNA from 1 species